UACGUAGGCAGCGAGCGUUGUUCGGAGUUACUGGGCGUAAAGGGUGUGUAGGCGGUUGUUUAAGUUUGGUGUGAAAUCUCCCGGCUCAACUGGGAGGGUGCGCCGAAUACUGAAUGACUAGAGUGCGGGAGAGGUGAGUGGAAUUCCUGGUGUAGCGGUGAAAUGCGUAGAUAUCAGGAGGAACACCGGUGGUGUAGACGGCUCACUGGACCGUAACUGACGCUGAGACACGAAAGCGUGGGCAGCAAACAGG
rnacentral:rRNA from 1 species